rnacentral:rRNA from 1 species
UCCCAGACUCCUACGGGAGGCAGCAGUGGGGAAUAUUGCACAAUGGGGGAAACCCUGAUGCAGCGACGCCGCGUGAGUGAAGAAGCGCCUCGGCGCGUAAAGCUCUGUCAGCAGGAACGACGAUGACGGUACCUGAAGAAGAAGCCCCGGCUAACUACGUGCCAGCAGCCGCGGUAAUACGUAGGGGGCAAGCGUUAUCCGGAUUUACUGGGUGUAAAGGGAGCGUAGACGGCGGGGCAAGUCUGGAGUGAAGGGCCGGGGCCCAACCCCGGGACCGCUCUGGAAACUGCCCGGCUGGAGUGCGGGAGAGGUAAGCGGAAUUCCUAGUGUAGCGGUGAAAUGCGUAGAUAUUAGGAGGAACACCAGCGGCGAAGGCGGCUUACUGGACCGUGACUGACGUUGGGGCUCGAAAGCGUGGGGAGCAAACAGGAUUAGAUACCCGUGUA